CACCGGCAGCUCAAGUGGUAGCCGCUUUUAUUGGGCCUAAAGCGUUCGUAGCCGGCUUGAUAAGUCUCUGGUGAAAUCCCAUAGCUUAACUGUGGGAAUUGCUGGAGAUACUAUUAGGCUUGAGGCCGGGAGAGGUUAGGGGUACUCCCAGGGUAGGGGUGAAAUCCUAUAAUCCUGGGAGGACCACCUGUGGCGAAGGCGCCUAACUGGAACGAACCUGACGGUGAGGGACGAAAGCCAGGGGC
rnacentral:rRNA from 1 species